rnacentral:lncRNA from 1 species
AAAUGUCAAAUUGCUUGUUCAAAUCAAUCAUUAAAGCUUGGUUAUUUAAGGUUUACAAGUAAACUUAAACGUAUGAUACUUGUGAGAAUGUAUUUUUCAAAAUAUGAAAAACUGUAAAGCUAACUGUGUUAAUAGAAUGUUAUUUUGCUUAAAGAUGUUUUACUAUUGUUAAUAAUAAUAAUAUGUAUUUCUUUCUCAUCUUACUAUAAAAAGUUAUGGCCUUUUAUGUGUAUGAUGGAACAAAAACCGUGAAUUCUACAGUGUGUAUUAUCGUGAAAACUAAUCGUUGGAGUGGAGAACAUAUUAGUUGGUAAACUAAUAAAAAAAAACUGUUUUGACUGAUAAAACAUAAAUGUAAAAAUACUAUUUUUUACAUGCUUUUGGUCUAAAAAUUAUAAGGGUGUGACUCAAUAUUAUAAAAAUGUACAUGCAGUAAUAAGUGGUUUAUUCCUACUAAUUGGCAUGGUCAUGGGGACUUAUCCCCCAGGAAGAUGAGAAACAUAUUUCUUUCUUUAUUCAUUCAGUAUGUAUAUAGUAUUGAUUUACACCCUCCCAGAGAAAAUUCUGUGGAUGUCCACGUGCUCAGUGGUCUGAAAUAGUAACAUUACCAUUAACUUUUUAGCCGAUGUUUAAACGUUUUUGUUUUCUCUGUGUGUGUGUGUGUGUGUGUGUGGGGACAGACACCAUCUUCUCUGUUGAUCAGAAGUUUGUACAUUUGUAGCUUCUACUAGUUUAGAGUUUCAUCAUUGUUCCCAGAUAUUUUAAUAAUUUUUCGUAACUUGUAAUAUCAAAAACAGUUUUCGUAUUAAACUUCCUCUGUUCCUUUUGCCCCCCCAGUGGCACAGCCAUAUAUCUGCAGAUUUACGAUGCUAGAAACCGAGUUUUGAUACCCGUGGUGGGCAGAGCACAGAUAGCCCAUUGUGUAGCUUAACUUAAUAUAUUCCUUUUUUUAAACCUAUAAACAUGUUAGUUUACAGUGAUUUGUAAACUUUUUGUUUGUUUAAGAAACAGUCUCCAAGUUGUUAAUCAUUCAAACAACUUAACUCAAUUUAUAAAAAAGCUGCAGCAAACAUCUUUUUCUGCAUUUAAAAUGAAAAAAUUCAAUUAUUUUCGGUCUUCACCAAUUCAUUUACUUGUUUUGAGGAAUGGUAUAUUUAACAUGGUACAACUUACCCCUAUACUUUAAAGCAUCACAAGUUUUGUGAAGUCAAUUCCACAAAAUUAUUCUUAAUUAAAUUGUUUUCUUAACUUAAGAAAAAAGUCCAAUACAUUUAUCAAAUUUAUUCAGAAUGUAACAUACUAAAAUUAGAAACGAAAUCCUAGUUAUUAACAGUGUCAUGAAGACAGGAUUUAACAUAAAUGUGAGUUAUUAUGCUUUUGAGAUUUUUUUUAUGUAAGCAAGCUUUAAAAGCCAAUUUUAAUAUUGUUUAAAUCCAUUAAGUUAGAAAAGGUAAUAUUUGUUUUUCAAUAUUUUUGAAGUCGUGUUAAUUAGUACAUCUUUGCUAGAUUACAAGAAUUUUUGCUGUUAUCUUCAUGGCACCUAAUGUACUCAGUGGUAGGACAUCUCUUCAAGACAGUGAUGAUUAUAAUAGUCAUUGUAAGGGUGACAGUUUGGUUUUUUAGGUUAAGGAUAAUGGCUGAUGUAAGGUCAGUUUUAGGGGAGGAUGCAGUAUGUUGGGUUUGCAGUAACACAGAAACAAUGUGGACUUGUUAAUAUUUUAUAUCACAAUGUUUUGACGAAAUGAAACUGAUCCAGUCUCUCAAAAUGGUAUUUCUGUUCUUGGAUAAUGGAGUAGUGAUUGUGGGAGGAGAGAUUUUGGUACAUAUUUGUGUUUAUACACCCUCACCAUCAUUCAUCAUUUUCUGUCAUGUUUAGUUUAGCUGGGUUUCUAGUCUGGUGAGAUGCUGUAGUGUGGCUAACUAUUUUUCAUCAGCUCUUCUAUUGUGAGCUUAUUGUAUGUGACUUCUGCAUUUUUUUUACCUCUAUGAUGAGAGUGUGGUGGGUGCGUUUUCUUCAGCUCCUUUGUGGUAAGACUGAUUUGUUGCCUCUUCGUCUUCUCUAUGCUAAGCAUAUGGUAUCUUCAUUUUUGUCAGCUCCUCUAUGAUGAGACUGAAUUUUCCUCUUCUGUAUCGUGCGGCCUCUAUUUUCUUCAGCUCCCAUGUUUAAUGUGUGGCCUCUUCCUUUCCUCCAUGGAGAGAUUAUGAUGUGUUUAAUCUUCAUCUCCUCUAUAGUGAGUGUGUUAUGCAGCCUCUAUUUUCUUCAGCUCCCAUGUUUAAUGUGUGGCCUCUUCCUUUCCUCCAUGGAGAGAUUAUGAUGUGUUUAAUCUUCAUCUACUCUAUAGUGAGUGUGUUAUGCAGCCUCUAUUUUCUUCAGCUCACAUGCUUAAUGUGUGGCCCUUUCAUUUCUUUCAGCUCCUCCAUGGUGAAAUUUCCUUUUCAUCUUCUCUGUGUGUUUGGCCUUUUAAUCUUCAUCUCCUCUGUACUUGUAACUGUGAUAGUUGUGCCUCUAUAUUCACAUGUUUAGACAAUUUGUGAUAUUGUAUAUUAAGACAAAAGUGUGAGGUUUUCCCUUUCACGUGAUUUGUUUUUAAUUGAUUCGUGAACGUCACCAGAUUUCAAGUGUGCUGAAAUUGUGACUAAAUGCUUGUGAGCUAAACAUCAAAGAAAAAAUCCUGCUCUUAUGUCUUAGUACACGCAGAGAUCACUCUUAUUUUGAUCCUGCAUCGAUAUCCGAGAGUACACUAGCACUCUUUGUAGGGAUGGUACGUACGCCGGUAUUAAAGCAAUAUAAAAGUCAUUUGGGAUUUCUUCUCUACAGGUCACCAGAAGCUAGUAGAUAUGAAGAGCUACAUGGAAUAGUUGCUCUAUCUUCAUUGUUUAUGCUGCUUUUCAGCUAUCUAGAGCAUUCCAGUUAAAAACCAGUGAAUAGCUAAAAUGAUAUUUCUUAUUUUUGUUCAUCAUCAUCUUUCUUCAACAGGCUUAGUGAGUAUCUAUUUCUAGCAGUACCUAUAAUUUUAUCAUCAUUUUAUAGAGCAAAACUAACUUUGACUAUCUAUUUUAUUGUUAUUCUAUGCAAAAUUUAUAAAGUUUUACAAUACACUUUAGAACCCAGGUAUGCCAUCUUAUAAAAAAAAAAGUAAAUACGUAAAUAUUAGGAAAAACAUUAUUGCUAAAUAAAAAAGCUAUGUAGGACUAGCUACUGAACUUGAAGAAAAAGAAGGAACCAAAGAAGAUAGGGAUGGAAGUGGACAUAUCACUUGAUCUGGCUAAUGAUCACAUAGCAGACUAAGCUGCCCAGACUUUACACGGAGAAUAAAAUCCUUACAUUACUGGCAAAACAAGUAGAAUUUCUAAUCGUAAAAUGUUACUCUAUUGUAAAAUAGUCAUACAAGUAGUAUUCUAAAGUUAACUAAGGGAAAGGUAUAAUAAUGAAAGCUGGGAUUUUAUUUAAACACCAAGUUUUCAAUGGAUUGAGUGAUACGGCCACUUCCAUCCUCAUCUUGUUUGGUUCCUUUUUUUUAUUCAAGUUCAGUAGCUAGUCCUACAUAGCUUUUUUAUUUAGCAAUAAUGUUUUCCUACUACUUGUUAAUAUGGCAGUGGUGACAUUCGAAAUUCCUUCUUUUUACAUAUAAGAAUACAUAGGUAAUUCAGUUGGUUCCCUAAGUGUUUAAAUAUUAUUCAUUUACCUUACUGGUAAGCUUUCUAACCUUAAAAAUUAUAAUAGCAUUUGUAUAGAGUAAUGUGACCAAAAAUGGGGGGUCAUAUGUUUUUCACGACCUUUAUUUGUUAUAAAUUGUUUGCAACAGUGUUUUAGUUACCGUGUUCCUUUGUUUAAAGUGUCUUUAUUGAUGUUGAAUGGGAAUUCAGUUCUUUCUAAGUGUCAUCCAGCCACUGUGAUGGGAAAGGAGGUCACAUUUCUAGAAAGAACAUACUUCGUAAAACUUGUUUUAUGGCGAUGAAUGAGUGGGAUUAUCUUGUCCCAAACUUUCAACAUAAUUCACAACCCAGAGAUUUUUUUUUUGUUUACUUUGAAGGACAGGUCAUGCAUUUAAAACCAAGGGGAGUAGGUUGUUGUGAUUACAGCAAUAGAUUUCUGGGAUGAGUUUUGAAUAAUAAAAAAAAAAAACUGUCAGAAGGUCUAACUGUAAGUGAUUAAAACUACAGAUUUAUUCAAAGAUCUUGUUUACUAGACCCAAAGGUCAGUUGGGUCAGGAAGCAUCUCGGUUCAUUUCGUCGGGUGUUUGGGACUGAGACAUAUUUCUACAUGAUAAGGUCUUGUUGGGAUACAAGUCUUAUAUUAAUUUCUUGGUCCUUCGGGUAAUAUUAGAUAAGCAUCUUGGAGUAUUAUGCCCGUACCAAAUGUGGUCAACAAACUUAUAUUUGGGCUGUAACUUAUUUAAAGCUAGAGUUCAUUCAGAAUCUAUCUUUAUGUAACAAGAUAAUAAGAGUUUAAAAUUACUUUUCAAUGUAUUUGUUUCUAUAUCAUGUUUUAUAUGUGAUGCUAAAGUUAAGUCCCAAAAUCACUUCUAGGGGUUUCUUAAAAACGGUGCUGUUAACGGUAAUUUUAAAAAUGAACGUUUCCAUAAAGUAUUAAAUAACCAUUAACAAAGUUGACAAGCUUAUCUCAUCCCUUAGUCUAGUGGAAUCAUGCCUGCCCUAAAAUUUGGGGAGAAUCUAUCUGUGACGGUAGUUAGGAGAUAUUUUAUUUUCUAAGAUUCAAUAUAAUGGUCCAUGCUGAAUGUGUCUUUAAUAACUUAUACAUAAGAUAAAUUGUUAAUAUUUUGGAAAGUAAUAACGUUCUCUUUAAGAGUCUUUAGAAGAUAUUAAAAUAUCUACCUAAGAAAUUAGUUUGUUCUUUUCAUUCAUUACAAAACUAUAGGUUAAUGUAUUGAUUAAAUGGAGGGUGUCAGAAGAGUCUCUAUUGACACUGGAGAGUAUUAAGCUGUUGAAUUGGGGUGAUUACCACUUAACUUUUUUUUUUUUGACAGGCUUUAAAUAUCCCACAAUGCAAACUGUAUGACAGUUGUUAGAUAUUAUACGAUCGAUCAUAUAUUUUUGUGGUUGAACAUUAUAUGUCUAUGUAACAAUAGGUUUAAUAUAGAACAUAGUUUUAUUACCGUUGUUGUGACUAAUAUUACAUGCAUCUUUUUUUUCAAUUCAGUUAACUAAUUACAUAUAUCUGAGAACAGUGAUUUUUAUCACAAGUUCCCUUGAAAUCUCUAAAUAAAUCUUGUGCAGUAGCUUCCAUUGUUCUCUAAACAUUUCUCCAAUUUCCACAUUGUUUUUAAAAUCUGGGCACUAGGCUGGCGAAGAAAAUGCUUUCGUAUUCUGUGUUAAUGACAGCAGCAACUAGAGGAUUUUUUGAAAAAUUCUUGUCAUUGGUUCAACCGAUUAACAUAUUUUUUUUAGUUGUGAAACAAAAGGUAAUGGCUAUUAUUUAACUACAAUUGAUAUAAUCAAAUCUAAGUGUAUAAUUUCUCAGUCUUCACGUUAAUAGUUUGAUACCAGUUGCUGGGUAUCAUAAUAAAACAAUUUUCUACAGAACAGCUUCUGCAUAUCCCAGCAGUUAUUAUUUUGUUGUUGUGUGUGAAGUUUGUAAUAACGAGAGUUAGAUGAAUGAGGACGAGAGGUACUCGGCAUCUUGUAUUUUCAAUAUGGUUCCGAAAACCAAGACAGAAAAAUUGGAUUUGUUCCAGUUAUAGGUCAAGGUGUGAACUUGCAUAGAGCAGUAUAAAGGUAACAUUUGAGAAUGCAGAUUCCACUUGAGGAAUCAACGUCUUCCAGGUUUAUUUUCGUUAUUUUAGUCCUGGCUCUAAUUUUUUUUUAACCUUUUAAUAAAAUUAUAAAUAAUACUAGCUGCAACUAACCACUACCAAUAAACAAGACAAAGGCCUGGUUUAGAUGUACUUUAUAUUAAGUUAUUCAGCUUUUGCUGCUGUUUAAAAAAAGCAGAAAUUUGAAAUUGUGUAUUUAUAGGUUAAUCAAUAGCUUUAGGGUUAGAUUUGUCUUUCAACACUUACCUUUAUGUGGUGACAUAUAAGUACUCUGCAUAAUAAAUUUAAUCUCAUUUUUUCUAAAAAGUUAAUAAGCAUUCUGUGGAAACUUUCUCACAUUCAAGAAAGCUUCAAUGUACUAAAAAAUAAAUGAAGUCCAAUCAGUCGCUUGGAUAUACUGGUUUCAGGGAAAAUUAAGAGUAAGACUAGGCUUUGUACAUUUGAUUUGUUGCUUGGAUAUACUGAAUAGGCUUCGUACAGUGAUAACAGGAUCACUGUGCGAGUGAAAUCCAUCUCAAAAGCUUCAGUGUACUGUCGUGUAUUUAAUAUCAUACCAGUAUAAAAUGAGAUCAAAGCUUAGCAAGUACGUUUUAUUUAAAAGUUUGUAGUUGAUAAAUAACUUAUUUAAGUACUCAAUUUUAGCCUUCUAGAUUUUCCUUAUUACUGUUGUUGAUCUCAAAAGUACAAGUUUCUCUUAAAAUAACAAACUCGUGGGUUUUCAAGUACGAGUAAUUUUGCUUAUUCCAGUACAAUGAACAUGCCAACUAUCUCGUAUGAAUAGAAAAAAAACUGAUGUUAUCUAUUUUGUACAUAGUCGUUUGAAUGGCACCUAUGAAUGAAUAGGCUUGAUGGUAAAUUUGACCCAAUCUGUAAAAAGUGGUGCCACAGUUAAGAUGAAUACUGUAGUUAAAUGAAGAGAAAAUUAUUUUAACUGGAAACUACAAGUUAUUUUUUUACUGAAAAGAAAACAAAAGUACAAUUCCAUGCAAAGUUGAGAUUUUUAGGCUCACUGGGUAUUUAAAGCACAGAUGCAAGUCCAUGGACACAUUAUUACUGUCUGCACCCCCUCCUUAAACUAAAUUUUGUGUUAGAAACUCGCACUACGUAACGGUUCUAUGUAGUACUUUAAAUCUUGAUUUUUUUGUUAAGAUAGUUUGGAUAAAAUGUUCAUUUGGGAGUAUUAGAUGUAAAAGAGUUUCUAUUAACAGUCAUUUAUACGUGUGUGAGAUACGAUACAUCAAAAUGAAGACUGGGUAGUGUUGUUUAUUCAAGUAAUGGUAUCGUGAAGGGUCCUUAAUUAAUAACUAUAAAGAAUAAUGUUAUAUGUACAGCUAGUUUGCUUAUCAUUGUUUGAAUUGUACACUGUUAAUAGAUUUGAAAGAAUUUUAAGAUGCACAUUUAAUUGGCCACAUGGAUUGUCUGUCUGUGUCUUUUAUGUGAUGGGAGGAUACAAGUUUAUAGCCUGUAUUUUUGCUUUAAAUGCAAACCUGUACACACAAUAGUUUUGAAUGUGGUUAAGAACUGAGGUGUUGUAGUUAACAGCUUCAAAGUUCUGUCCCUACAAACUACAAUGUAGCUUCCUUAUGUACAUGUAAUAAAUAGUUUGUAUAAAAAAAUUU